GUAGGGAAUCUUCCACAAUGGACGAAAGUCUGAUGGAGCAACGCCGCGUGAGUGAAGAAGGUCUUCGGAUCGUAAAACUCUGUUGUUAGAGAAGAACGUGCAUGAUAGUAACUGAUCAUGUAAUGACGGUAUCUAACCAGAAAGCCACGGCUAACUACGUGCCAGCAGCCGCGGUAAUACGUAGGUGGCAAGCGUUGUCCGGAUUUAUUGGGCGUAAAGGGAACGCAGGCGGUUUUUUAAGUCUGAUGUGAAAGCCUUCGGCUUAACCGAAGAAUAGCAGUGGAAACUGGAAGACUUGAGUGCAGAAGAGGAGGGUGGAAUUCCAUGUGUAGCGGUGAAAUGCGUAGAGAUCGGGAGGAACAUCCGUGGCGAAGGCGGCCAUCUGGACCAGCACUGACACUGAGGCACGAAAGCGUGGGGAGCAAACAGGAUUAGAUACCCUAGUAGUCC
rnacentral:rRNA from 1 species